GCCAAUUCUGAAAAUAUUUAGUCACUGGUAGAUUAUCUUGUACAAUAGAGAAUGGGUUACAUCAUUUAUUCAGAUUUGUGCAUUUGCAGGCAUGGAACUUGUAAUUAUUAAAUAAGCUUACAAAUACUUGUUCAUUUAGCAUGCCUCAGGCUGCACAACGUCAAAUACAUUAUUAAUAGCGAAAUCACAAUGCAAGAUUAGCCAAAUUUCAGGCAGCGACAGCAAGUACUUGUUCCAUUUUGUUGCCCAUAAACUGGAGAGUAGAGUUCAUAUAGGAAUCGAAAUCCUGCAAACUCCACCCUUCAAUCGGAUCAGCAACAAAUGACCACUCGAUCUUACACCCAUGUUGAUUACCUGCUCCAUCUCCAUUCACUGGCAAAACUUUGAAUGUGGCCGUAUACCAAUUGAAUCCCACGUUAUUUUCAAUGAUCUCGUAGCUUAGACACCGUUCAACAGGAUUUAUCAUGAUGAGCUUCUCU
rnacentral:misc_RNA from 1 species